CGGACUGUCGCGGUCACGUCCGUAAAUCCAAUAAAUCAAUUAACCAAGGAUCAUAAUAUGCUUCCCAUUUUUUUUAAGUUUUCCCGCGUUGUUCCCACAUCCACAAAAAAGUUUAAUACAUUAUAAUAUACUUGGUUUUUCGCAGAAGUUAUCAUCUGGUAAUUUAUAAUUAUGUUUUUAGUCACUCGGUAACACUUCGGAUAUUAAUUGUUGC